rnacentral:rRNA from 1 species
CGGUUGACCUCGGAUCAGGUAGGAAUACCCGCUGA